GAGGGAGAUGGGCCUGGCUGCUGGGGAGCGUACCAGGGAACCUGAGGUGAAGCAGGGCUGGGGAAGGCCAGAGGAGCUGGGAGGCUCCAGACUGGAAAAGCCCCAGGCUGCAGACUUGGCAGAUGGCCUAAGACCGGGCAGCCGCCAUUCC